AUGCGCAUGUAUGCGAGAUCUGGUGCACACGGUGCGACAGGACGCUUAACCUUCGGGAGGGCGCUUGCCACGGUGUGGCCGAUGACUGGGGUGAAGUCGUAACAAGGUAGCCGUAUCGGAAGGUGCGGCUGGAUCACCUCCUUUUGAGCAUGACGUCAUCGUCCUUGCGGGCGUCCUCACAAAUUACCUGCAUUCAGAGAUGCGUAUCGGCACAGGCCGGUAUGCGAAAGUCCCAUCAUGGGGCCUUAGCUCAGCUGGGAGACCACCUUGCUUUGCAAGCAGGGGGUCGUCGGUUUCUUCCCCCAGGGGCCUCCACCUUUUGAGUAAAACCUUUUUGGGGUCUGGUAGCUCAGGUGGUUAGAGCGCACCCCUGAUAAGGGUGAGGUCGGUGGUUCGAGUCCUCCCAGACCCACCACUCUGAAUGUAGUGCACACUUAAGAAUUUAUAUGGCUCAGCGUUGAGGCUGAGACAUGUUCUUUUAUAACUUGUGACGUAGCGAGCGUUUGAGAUAUCUAUCUAAACGUGUCGUUGAGGCUAAGGCGGGGACUUCGAGUCCCUAAAUAAUUGAGUCGUAUGUUCGCGUUGGUGGCUUUGUACCCCCACACAACACGGCAUGUGACCCUGAGGCAACUUGGGGUUAUAUGGUCAAGCGAAUAAACCGCACACGGUGGAUGCCUAGGCGGUCAGAGGCGAUGAAGGGACGUGGUAGCCUGCCGAAAGUGUCGGGGAGCUGGCACAAAGCUUUGAUCCGGCAAUUAUCCGAAUGGGGAAACCCACUUGCUUCGGCGGUAUCCUGCAGUGAAUUCAUAGCUGCUGGAAGCGAACCCGGGGAACUGAAAUAUCUAGUUACCGGAGGAAAAAAAUCAACCUAAUUCCCUUAGUUGUUGACGAGCCAACCGGGUACAGCCCUUAAGCUGGAAUGCCUUGCAAAACAAUUUGAAAGAUUGGCCAUAAAGGAAUAGCCCUGCUUUAAAGGGCACCUCCAUGAAUACAAUAGGCGGGCACUGAACACUGUCUGAUAGUGGCCAUCUUCAGGCUAAAUCCUUGCCACAGAUUGAACGUUCCUUGGGUAGUGAACACCACUCCCUC
rnacentral:sRNA from 1 species